rnacentral:lncRNA from 1 species
GGGUAUUAUUACCUAGUGGUGGAAGCCAAAUUCUAACCAAUACUGAGAACUCUCCAGGGAGCAGUAACUUGAAUUGGAAUAAAGUUACAUCUGCUGCUCUCACACUCAUUAUCCUUCCCAUCUCCUCAGUUUCUUUCAUUCAAGUGAGAAAAUCCAUCAGGGCGAUCAAAGGAAAUGUCAAACAUGGUAAAAAUGUUGGCUUAGAUCAUCAGCGCACUUCAAAGACAUCUGACUAUGGCAUUAUCACAAGAAAGUAAAUGCCCA